GGUCAAUGGGCGAGAGCCUGAACCAGCCAAGUAGCGUGCAGGAUGACGGCCCUAUGGGUUGUAAACUGCUUUUGUAUGGGGAUAAAGUCAAUCACGUGUGAUUGUUUGCAGGUACCAUACGAAUAAGGACCGGCUAAUUCCGUGCCAGCAGCCGCGGUAAUACGGAAGGUCCGGGCGUUAUCCGGAUUUAUUGGGUUUAAAGGGAGCGUAGGCUGGAGAUUAAGUGUGUUGUGAAAUGUAGACGCUCAACGUCUGACUUGCAGCGCAUACUGGUUUCCUUGAGUACGCACAACGUUGGCGGAAUUCGUCGUGUAGCGGUGAAAUGCUUAGAUAUGACGAAGAACUCCGAUUGCGAAGGCAGCUGACGGGAGCGUAACUGACGCUGAAGCUCGAAGGUGCGGGUAUCGAACAGGAUUAGAUACCCUGGUAGUCCGCACAGUAAACGAUGGAUGCCCGCUGUUGGUACCUGGUAUCAGCGGCUAAGCGAAAGCAUUAAGCAUCCCACCUGGGGAGUACGCCGGCAACGGUGAAACUCAAAGGAAUUGACGGGGGCCCGCACAAGCGGAGGAACAUGUGGUUUAAUUCGAUGAUACGCGAGGAACCUUACCCGGGCUUGAA
rnacentral:rRNA from 1 species